UUUCUACAGUUUUUUGACUUUCCAUUGAAGCAGCAUGAACAAUUAAAAUUGUAAAUACUAUAAACAACUACAGUAGAACAUGACAUAUCUUGUGUUAUACUUCCGCAUGUCUAGAGAAAACGAUUGCACAAAUCACUAUAAUAUACAUGCAGCAACAGGACAAAACCUACCGCUAAAUGGGUGAAACCAAGCACAAAUGGAGCUGCACUGGAGAAUGUUUUCCUUUUAUAAGGAAUCGUUGUAACAUUCCCCAGAUUUACUGUUUUGUUAGCCGGACCCUUUUGUCCAAUGUAAUGGAUUCUAUGUUAUUCUGGUCUUACUACUAUUUGCAUUAAAA
rnacentral:lncRNA from 1 species